rnacentral:rRNA from 1 species
UACGUAGGGGGCUAGCGUUGUCCGGAUUUAUUGGGCGUAAAGAGCGUGUAGGCGGCCAUGUAGGUCCGGUGUGAAAACUCGAGGCUUAACCUCGAGAUGUCAUCGGAAACCAUUUGGCUAGAGUCCGGAAGAGGAGAGUGGAAUUCCUGGUGUAGCGGUGAAAUGCGCAGAUAUCAGGAAGAACACCAAUGGCGAAGGCGGCUUCCUGGACUAAAACUGACACUGAGGCACGAAAGCGUGGGGAGCAAACAGG